rnacentral:lncRNA from 1 species
CAGAUCAUACCUUCAGUUGACUCCUGCAUGCAUGCACUCUUAAAAUUAGUUCAAAAGAUGCAGAUCUGUCUGACCCGGCCUAUCACUCAGAAUCUCACCCGGCCUAUCACUCAGAAUCUCAGAUCAUACUCUCAGUUCACUAUAUAUAUAUUUGAGCUGUAUUUCUAAUUUUCUAUAGUUAAAUUGUUUUUUUUCUUGAUUUUUUAGAAGUGUCUAUCUUUAAAUCUCUUCACAGGGUUGGCCGGGGCUAAUUUCUGGUUCUCUGAAGUGGAUUAAUUAGGUGAUCGAGUCGGAUCGACAAGCAAAUCUAGAUCUCUGCUGAAGAUCUCCUUUCUUUUUUCCAUUACACUUAAAUAAUAGCACCUUACUCAUCAUGGUCUCCGGCGGUAGGUAUAAGGUACGACUACUGACCAUUGAGUAAAGUUUCCAGACAAUUAGAUGCAAAGUUUGUGCCAAAGAUUUAGGGCAUCCCAUCAUUUCAUGCUCCCAAAUUAUACACUUCACAUACUAGUCACUGCUGCUUUGAACCUACUGUUCAAUCUUUGGAAAUAAAAGGGGAAAAAUCGAUGAAAGCUACGGUAAAUGGUUAGUAGAUCGAUCAUAUUCAAGAGCAAAACUGUGGAUUUUUCAUUGUUUCUUUCUUGUGUUUUUAUGCUAGAACUCGAAAAAUACAUGUUAGUUGCAGAGGUUUGAACCCCAUGCCAGAACCAGUAUGGCGUAUUAUUGGUUUUUGAAUUUGAGAAAAGUGAUAAGCUAGCUAGCUAGUUUCAGCAAUCUGAGUGAUGAAAAGAUGAACAAAUCGGAGUCGCUAGAUUCAUGCAGGCUUGCAGUGCAGAGGUACAAAACGUUGGUGGCGGACCAUGCUAGUCGCUGACAGCCUUGUCGUUCUUGUUCAUUACCCAUAUCUCAAAGAAUCACACAGAUGGCUCCAUUUCUUCAAUCAUCACGAUUAUCUGGACUGUUGUAAAUUUGGAAUCCACUCCAAUAUAUAACAACAGAUCAACAACAUUCAGGAUGAUCAGUAUUCACUAGCUCGCUACAGCUGAUCAAUAACGAUCGAGCUAGCCAAACACAGGGUUAUCAUAUUCGUUUAUGUUAACUGCUGAUCACAUCUUCAAUUGUAUGUUAAGAAACUAUGUGUUUCUGGGUUAUUCCUGCGACCCCAAAUUUGUGUGCUUGAAUUAUCUUUGUCUUUUUUGUAAGUUCAGUUAUGAGUUAUGAUCACAGAACAAUGCAUACUGUAAUAUCAACUGAAACAAAUUUAGUGUGUUGCAAUGGGCUGGUAUAACGGUAUUCCUG